rnacentral:lncRNA from 1 species
CCAUUACUCUUCACAAUGUACUGCUAGUUCCUUCUUUUAAACACAAUUUUGAUUUUUGUUCACAAGUUAGUGAAGCAAUUGCAUUGUAUAGUUAUGUUCACUGAACAUUAAUGCUUCCUACACAUGAUACAGGACCCUUCUCUGAGGUGGCCUCUGGAUCUUGGUAGAGAAGCUGCUGGGUUAUAUAAACUGGCUUGGGUUCCUCCUUCCUCUUCUUCCUCUGUUAGUUGUUCUUCUACUUCUGUUUGUCUUGUAUCUGCUUCUUGUGAUGAAAGCAAAGUUGUUGCAUUGCCUUCUAUGUCUGUUUCUUGUAAUGAUGACAUCUUGUCUGAUAACAAGGCUGUUCCAUUGCCUUCUCAUGUGAAUAAUUCCAUCUGUAAUAAUGAUUUUACAUCUGAUAUAAAUUACAUUUGGCACUUAAGGCUUGCACAUACUCCUUUUGCAAACAUGAAAUGUAUUUCUGGUCUGUCUUUUCCUUUUGCUUCCAAACAACCCUUUCCCUGUUCAGUCUAUCCUAUGGCCAGACAGACUAGGCUUCCAUUUCCUGAUAGCUCAAUUAAGCCUUUCCUUGUUCAGUCUGUCCUAUGGCCAGACAGACUAGGCUUCCAUUUCCUGAUAGUUCAAUUAAGAUUUCUAGACCCUUUCAACAGAUUCAUGUGGACACAUGGGGACCUUAUCAUACUCCAACCUCUUCUG